GCUGGGCACAGUGGCACAUGCCUCUAAUCCCAGCUACUUGGGAGGCUGAGGCAGGAAGAUCACAAGUUUGAGGCCAGCCUCAGCAACUUAGUGAAACCCUGUCUCAA
rnacentral:sRNA from 1 species